GCAAAAUCUACUAGAAGGGCUGAAACACAAAGCCCGGUUCUCCCGGAGCUCAUUACUCUGCUCGCAGCCUUUGUGGACCGGGGGAGAGGCCCGGGGGAAGCGUACAUUCUGUCCAGGCCACUCGGGGUGUGUGCUGUGCGGUUCCAGCAGGUGCCAGGCACGGGGAGAGGCUUCAGUCCUGCGGCGCUGACCCGGGACGCACUCGGCCAGCACUGAUGGAUUCCUCACCGUCUUCUGGCUCCUCCUCCGGGCACAAGCAGGAGCAGGAGUCUCACAUUUAUUUACGAUAAAUCCCCUGAUGGAGCUCCUGGACUCCACUGUCAUACAUCAGCUGUGUUUGAUGUGGGGCUGCUGGUGUCCACGGGUGGGCUGGAGAUGGACUUCCUCACCGCUAGCCAUCAUCAAUCCUGCCGUCGGACCGCAGAUCUGCACCUCUGCCCUCUUGACCACUGUGACGUACAGCCAUCCGUCACGCCAGUCUGGCUCCUGAAAGCCUAUACAUCUUCCCAACUGGUGCUUUUACAUAUAGUACGCCAAAGAUUAAACUGACUGUAAUCGUGUGGCUUCGUUUUUUCAUUUUUCAGGUUAAAGUGAUGUUUAUAGCCUGAACUAGGGUAAUUAAGUCAUUGUAUAACGAUUUGUUCUGUAAUAUGCUAAUAAUAUUGACCUUAACAUUUAAAAAACGAUUUUAUUUUAGCCUAAAUAAAACAAAUAAGGCUUUUUACCAGAAGAAAAAAUAUUAAAGGAAAUACUGUGGA
ensembl:processed_transcript